rnacentral:rRNA from 1 species
CUUCGGAGCAUUUUACGAGGUGCUGCAUGGUUGUCGUCAGCUCGUGCCGUGAGGUGUCGGGUUAAGUCCCAUAACGAGCGGCAACCCCUACCUUUAGUUGCCAUCAGGUUAAGCUGGGGACUCUAAAGGAACUGCCUACGCAAGUAGUGAGGAAGGCGGGGAUGACGUCAAAUCAGCACGGCCCUUACGUCCAGGGCUACACACGUGCUACAAUGGCCGAUACAGAGGCAGCUACCUGGUGACAGGAUGCAAAUCUCCAAAGUCGGUCUCAGUUCGGAUCGGAGUCUGCAACCCGACUCCGUGAAGUUGGAUUCGCUAGUAAUCGCGCAUCAGCCAUGGCGCGGUGAAUACGUUCCCGGGCCUU